rnacentral:rRNA from 1 species
CAGUAGCCGCGGGAAUACGUAGGUGGCAAGCGUUGUUCGGAAUUAUUGGGCGUAAAGGGCUCGCAGGCGGUUUCUUAAGUCUGAUGUGAAAGCCCCCGGCUCAACCGGGGAGGGUCAUUGGAAACUGGGAAACUUGAGUGCAGAAGAGGAGAGUGGAAUUCCACGUGUAGCGGUGAAAUGCGUAGAGAUGUGGAGGGACACCAGUGGCGAAGGCGACUCUCUGGUCUGUAACUGACGCUGAGGAGCGAAAGCGUGGGGAGCGAACAGGAUUAGAUACCCCAGUAGUCCCUGUCUCUUAUAA